UACGUAGGGGGCGAGCGUUGUCCGGAAUUAUUGGGCGUAAAGAGCGUGUAGGCGGUUCGGUAAGUCUGCCGUGAAAACCUGGGGCUCAACCCCGGGCGUGCGGUGGAUACUGCCGGGCUAGAGGGUGGUAGAGGCGAGUGGAAUUCCCGGUGUAGCGGUGAAAUGCGCAGAUAUCGGGAGGAACACCAGUAGCGAAGGCGGCUCGCUGGGCCACACCUGACGCUGAGACGCGAAAGCGUGGGGAGCGAACAGG
rnacentral:rRNA from 1 species